AGGCACAGAACAAUUUCAUCUUUACCAUUGUGUAGAUCGAAAUCGGCUCAGAAGAAUGCAUAAAGUGCAAAAGUCUAAGAUUUAAAACUGAACUAGCACAAAAUAUAUGUCGGACAGAGACUGAUCGGGUUAUGAAGUUAACAAAGGAGCAAAUGUACAAACAAACAGGCCUACAUUUUUUUUUAGAAAAGGACGAUGACCCCCGGCCUCUGCAUCUGGGAGAUGCAUACGGCCACUUUAUUGAUUAUUCUCGAGGAUCUUACAAAGUAUUACAACAAUGUACCUGAAUCCACCAUCUUGGCAACAUAUGCCGCUACUCCUAUCCAAUAUGAUGAAGGGGUGCUAGCUGGGCCACUACCCAAACCACUCACCUAAGCUUAACAUCAAAAGCCGGAAGCCAAAACAGGCCUACAUGUACCCUUGAAAGAUUACUGGAGCAUGGAGCUGCGACUCUCAUCACCACUGAUCAAGAUAAACAAGGGUGCAUACCAUUUCCUCGACGAUGAUCAAGUUGCGCUCUACUUCUCCACUGAAGUUCAUCUGGAAAAGUCCAAACAACUUUCACGGUCAAACUCUGCUGGAGCAGAUUGCACAUUAUAUGGGAUAUGGCAUAUGUAAGAUGUAAAAGGAGCACAAAAGAAAGUCAAAUGCAAAGAUAAUUAAAUAUACUUUUUGCAAUGGGAAGAACAAGGGUGCAUAUUGCCAGUAUGGACCUACCGUGAAUAUUUACAAAUACUAGUCGAUCAGUUUUUUCUAUUUUAUCAUCCUGCUUGGACAGUUGGCCUGUCCUUGUCAGUGCUUGGGCAUUUAAACAAAAUUAUACGUGUCUCUCACCCACCCAUCCACCCACUCCUCACGCCUGGAGCAGCUUCAUUUUGCCAGGAGUCUCUUCAAGAUUUGCCAGAGGCCAGCCUAGUCAAAUUUGUCCACAGACCAACCAGAAGCGUGCCUCAUCAACCCCGGCCAUGGAGGUUGCCAUAUCUGCAGUUGCAGGUGAACUUGUGAGUCGAUUUGUCACCUUCCUGAUGAACAAGUACCACUCCUCCAGCCAUGCACAGUCAGAGGAGACGGUGGUGGAGAGGUUGCAGCAUGUCCUGUUGAGAGCUGUAACCAUUGUCGAGGAGGCGGAUGCUCGAUACAUAACCAACUCCGGGAUGAUGAUGCAGCUCAAGAUGCUCUCGGAGGCCAUGUACCGAGGUCACAGCCUGCUCGAUGCCUCAAGGUACCGAGCCCUCCAAGACGCCGCAGGCUUCGACGAGGUUAGCAGCGACGACCCAUCUAGCAGCAGUUUGUAUUUUGCCAUUCCCCUCAAGCGUUCUAGAACAGCAAUGGUGAAAGACGACAAGGCCAUGCGCCCGGGGUCACAUGGUGCCUUGGAAAACUUAGAAAUUGCUGUUGCUAACAUGGCUGAAUUUGUUGUGCUUCUGGGUGGAUGUGAGCGCAUGUCUCGAAGGCCAUAUGAUGUUUAUCUUUACACCGACAACUUCAUGUUCAGCCGACAUGCUGAAAAACAAAAGCUCUUGAGCUUCCUGUUGGAGCAAAACGACCCUCCUGGUGAUCAUGCACUGGCAGUUUUUCCGGUGAUAGGUGGUGUCGCAGUUGGGAAGAAAACUUUGGUUGCCCAUGUGUGUGGCGACGAAAGGGUUCGCUCAUGCUUUUCCUCAAUUUUGCACUUGAAUGGAGACAGCCAUUUGAGGAUGCUUGACGAUGGAAGGACCAUGUUUGGGAGGACAACACUGGUAGUUAUUGAAUUUGCUUCUGAUGUAGGCGACGAUGACUGGAAAAGCUUUCAGUCCUUUUUCAGAAGGAUGGGCAGAGGAAGCAAGAUCAUCAUCAUAAGUAAAUUUAAAACAGUAGCCCGUUUUGGAUCAGUGAAGCCAAUUUUCCUUAACGCUCUAUCUUACGAUGAGUUGAGGUAUCUUUUCAAGACACUGGCAUUUGGAAGCGCAGACCCGGUAGAACAUCCACGGCUAGUACAAAUAGCAGAUGAAAUCACCAAGGUGCUGCACAGUGUGCAAGGUUCACUUGUGGAAGUAAAUGUGUUUGCGGAUGUGCUGAGAAGGAAUCUCGAUGUUCAGUUCUGGUGUUGCAUACUGAACAAGGGGAUCAGACUGGUCAAAAGAAACCUGUCCAUGUAUGGCGUGCACCCAACCCUGCUUAUAGAACAAGGCCAGCCAGUGGACAUAACGGACCUCGCCUCGCAUCCACUUAGCAUGAUACCGUAUAAACCCAAGGAGGAAUCGCCAAGUGUGUCGUUAGGGGCGCUUGUAGCAGACCCUAGCAUCAGACCGGAUGGCGACUUCACUCUGGUCGCAUGGGAAUCAAGGAUACCCCCACAUAAAUCAUUUGUUCAUUAUGUCACAAGUCGUGCCCAGGAUACACAGGAAGGUAGUAGCAGUGCCUUGCCGGGGAGGAGGAAGCGCCGAGGCGUGCCAUUUGAAUGUUGCUUCAGACUAGUGUAAUGUGAUUCUAAUUUUGCUUCAGACUGGUGUAAUGUGAUUCUACUUUUGCUUCAGACUAGUGUAAUGCGUAACUCUUGUUGUAAUCUUUUAUAUGCGGCGAAGGAAUGUGUUCAUGUAUACUGACGAACUAUUACUAGGCCCUGUUUGUUUCAGCUUUGUUAGGGAACAGAUUCAGCUUUGAAAAAGCAGAAGCUGAAACAAACAGCCAUUGUAGAACCGCUUUGAAAAAUCAGCCGAAAGCUGAUUCGGGCUAUUUUCAGUGUGUUGGGCUGAAUCACGUCACGGUGUACUUCAGUGCCAAAUUUAUCAGAUCCACAGCUGAUUCUGUCGAAGCCGAAGCCGAAGCCGAAGCCCAAGCCCAAACAAACAAGGCCAAAUUCAUCAGACCCAACGACCCCUCCUACUCUUCUUGGACAGCGAAUUCAGGUAACGACAUCAUCUAAGGUGGCAGAUCAGAUACCUCCCCACUAUCACCAGCUCGUCUCGGUAAGGUGGAUUGAAACUGAACCAACAAGAAGGAGGUUCUGACCAGCAUUUUGAUACUACCAAGAAACCGAACUCUAUGCAUGUGCAGUUGCAAUUACAAGACACGAUUAAAUCAAGGAGUCUGCUUAGGUGCCGGAGUCCUUAAAAACCAGUAGAUUUGGCGAGAUUCGGGAAAAUGAAACAGGUUUGAGACUGAAAUUACCGGCAUUUCGAAGAACUGUCGGAGCUCCGCGGCGGCGCGCUCCGUCUGCGAGGUUGCCGGCGGCGAGGCUCCAGCUCGUACUCGACCGGGCUAGGCGCCUCCCCUCCCGCCCUCCGCCGACUUCGCG
rnacentral:lncRNA from 1 species